rnacentral:rRNA from 1 species
AACGAACGCUGGCGGCAGGCCUAACACAUGCAAGUCGAGCGCCCCGCAAGGGAGGCGGCGGACGGGUGGAGUAACGCGUGGGAACGGUGCCUCUUGCUACGGAAUAGCCUCGGGAAACUGGGAGUAAUACCGUAUGUGCCCUACGGGGGAAAGGAUUUAUCGGCAAGAGAUCGGCCCGCGUUGGAUUAGGUAGUUGGUGGGGUAAUGGCCUACCAAGCCGACGAUCCAUAGCUGGUUUGAGAGGAUGAUCAGCCACACUGGGACUGAGACACGGCCCAGACUCCUACGGGAGGCAGCAGUGGGGGAAUCUUAGACAAUGGGCGCAAGCCUGAUCUAGCCAUGCCGCGUGAGCGAUGAAGGCCUUAGGGUUGUAAAGCUCUUUCAGUGAGGAAGAUAAUGACUGUACCCACAGAAGAAGCCCCGGCUAACUCCGUGCCAGCAGCCGCGGUAAUGU